AGUGCAUGUGGUGGAUGCCUUGGCAGUCAGAGGCGAUGAAAGACGUGAUAGCCUGCGAAAAGCUCCGGGGAGGCGGCAAAUAUCCUUUGAUCCGGAGAUGUCUGAAUGGGGGAACCCACCUACUUUAAGGUAGGUAUUGCAACAUGAAUACAUAGUGUUGCAAGGCGAACGAGGGGAAGUGAAACAUCUCAGUACCCUUAGGAAAAGAAAUCAAUUGAGAUUCCCUCAGUAGCGGCGAGCGAACGGGGAUCAGCCCAUUAAGUUAUGUGUGUUUUAGUGGAACGCUCUGGGAAGUGCGAACGUAGAGGGUGAUAUUCCCGUACACGAAAGGGCACACAUAAUGAUGACGAGUAGGGCGAGGCACGUGAAACCUUGUCUGAAUAUGGGGGGACCAUCCUCCAAGGCUAAAUACUCCUGACUGACCGAUAGUGAACCAGUACCGUGAGGGAAAGGCGAAAAGAACCCCUGUGAGGGGAGUGAAAUAGAUCCUGAAACCGCAUGCAUACAAGCAGUGGGAGCACCUUCGUGGUGUGACUGCGUACCUUUUGUAUAAUGGGUCAGCGACUUAUAUUCAGUAGCAAGGUUAACCGUAUAGGGGAGCCGUAGAGAAAUCGAGUCUUAAUAGGGCGUUUAGUUGCUGGGUAUAGACCCGAAACCAGGCGAUCUAUCCAUGAGCAGGUUGAAGGUUGGGUAACACUAACUGGAGGACCGAACCCACUGUCGUUGAAAAGCCAGGGGAUGACUUGUGGAUAGGGGUGAAAGGCUAAUCAAGCCUGGUGAUAGCUGGUUCUCCCCGAAAGCUAUUUAGGUAGCGCCUCGGACGAAUACCAUAGGGGGUAGAGCACUGUUUCGGCUAGGGGGUCAUCCCGACUUACCAAACCGAUGCAAACUCCGAAUACCUAUGAGUACUAUCCGGGAGACAGACUGCGGGUGCUAACGUCCGUAGUCAAGAGGAAAACAAUCCAGACCGCCAGCUAAGGCCCCAAAAUCAUAGUUAAGUGGGAAACGAUGUGGGAAGGCAUAGACAGCUAGGAGGUUGGCUUAGAAGCAGCCACCCUUUAAAGAAAGCGUAAUAGCUCACUAGUCGAGUCGGCCUGCGCGGAAGAUGUAACGGGGCUAAAACUAUGUGCCGAAGCUGCGGAUNNUGCUGGAGGUAUCAGAAGUGCGAAUGCUGACGUGAGUAACGACAAAACGGGUGAAAAACCCGUUCGCCGAAAGACCAAGGGUUCCAGUCCAACGUUAAUCGGGGCUGGGUGAGUCGACCCCUAAGGCGAGGCCGAAAGGCGUAGUCGAUGGGAAAAUGGUUAAUAUUCCAUUACUUCUGUGUAAUGCGAUGAGAGGACGGAGAAGGCUAAAUCAGCCUGGCGUUGGUUGUCCAGGUGAAAGGAUGUAGGCAUGUAUCUUAGGCAAAUCCGGGGUACUCUAUGCUGAGAUCUGAUAGCAAGCUGUACUUGUACAGCGAAGUGGUUGAUGCCAUGCUUCCAGGAAAAGUCUCUAAGCUUCAGUUACACAGGAAUCGUACCCGAAACCGACACAGGUGGUCAGGUCGAGUAGACCAAGGCGCUUGAGAGAACUCUGCUGAAGGAACUAGGCAAAAUGGUACCGUAACUUCGGGAGAAGGUACGCUGUUGUUGGUGAUGGAACUCGCUUCCUGAGCUGACGACAGCCGCAGAAACCAGGCCGCUGCAACUGUUUAUUAAAAACAUAGCACUCUGCAAACACGAAAGUGGACGUAUAGGGUGUGAUGCCUGCCCGGUGCUGGAAGGUUAAUUGAUGGGGUUAGCGUAAGCGAAGCUCUUGAUCGAAGCCCCAGUAAACGGCGGCCGUAACUAUAACGGUCCUAAGGUAGCGAAAUUCCUUGUCGGGUAAGUUCCGACCUGCACGAAUGGCAUAAUGAUGGCGGCGCUGUCUCCAGCAGAGGCUCAGUGAAAUCGAAAUCGCUGUGAAGAUGCAGUGUACCCGCGGCUAGACGGAAAGACCCCGUGAACCUUUACUGCAGCUUGACACUGAACUUUGACCUUACUUGUGUAGGAUAGGUGGGAGGCUUUGAAGCUGGAACGCUAGUUCCAGUGGAGCCGUCCUUGAAAUACCACCCUGGUAAUGUUGAGGUUCUAACUCUGUCCCGUGAUCCGGGACGAGGACCGUGUCUGGUGGGUAGUUUGACUGGGGCGGUCUCCUCCUAAAGAGUAACGGAGGAGUACGAAGGUGCGCUCAGCGUGGUCGGAAAUCACGCGUAGAGUAUAAAGGCAAAAGCGCGCUUAACUGCGAGACCCACAAGUCGAGCAGGUACGAAAGUAGGUCUUAGUGAUCCGGUGGUUCUGUAUGGAAGGGCCAUCGCUCAACGGAUAAAAGGUACUCUGGGGAUAACAGGCUGAUACCGCCCAAGAGUUCAUAUCGACGGCGGUGUUUGGCACCUCGAUGUCGGCUCAUCUCAUCCUGGGGCUGAAGCAGGUCCCAAGGGUAUGGCUGUUCGCCAUUUAAAGAGGUACGCGAGCUGGGUUUAGAACGUCGUGAGACAGUUCGGUCCCUAUCUACCGUGGGCGCUGGAAAUUUGAGAGGAUCUGCUCCUAGUACGAGAGGACCAGAGUGGACGAACCUCUGGUGUACCGGUUGUGACGCCAGUCGCAUCGCCGGGUAGCUAUGUUCGGAAGGGAUAACCGCUGAAAGCAUCUAAGCGGGAAGCCUACCUCAAGAUAAGAUUUCCCUAGGACUUUAUGUCCUCUAAAGAGCCGUUCGAGACUAGGACGUUGAUAGGUUGGAUGUGGAAGCAUAGUGAUAUGUGAAGCUGACCAAUACUAAUUGCUCGUGAGGCUUGACU
rnacentral:rRNA from 1 species